GACAGAGGUGCCGAGCGUUAGGCGGAAUCACUGGGCUUAAAGCGUGUGUAGGCGGGCGAUCAAGUACCUUGUGAAAUCCCACGGCUCAACCGUGGAACCGCUGGGUAUACUGGUUGUCUUGAGCCGGCUAGGGGCGAGCGGAACAGACGGUGGAGCGGUGAAAUGCGUAGAGAUCCGGAGGAAGGCCGGUGGCGAAGGCGGUCUGCUGGGCAGUUUCUGACACUGAGGCGCGACAGCGUGGGGAGCAAACAGG
rnacentral:rRNA from 1 species